CUGGCGGCAGGCCUAACACAUGCAAGUCGAACGGUAACAGGAAACAGCUUGCUGUUUCGCUGACGAGUGGCGGACGGGUGAGUAAUGUCUGGGAAACUGCCUGAUGGAGGGGGAUAACUACUGGAAACGGUAGCUAAUACCGCAUAACGUCGCAAGACCAAAGAGGGGGACCUUCGGGCCUCUUGCCAUCAGAUGUGCCCAGAUGGGAUUAGCUAGUAGGUGGGGUAACGGCUCACCUAGGCGACGAUCCCUAGCUGGUCUGAGAGGAUGACCAGCCUCACUGGAACUGAGACACGGUCCAGACUCCUACGGGAGGCAGCAGUGGGGAAUAUUGCACAAUGGGCGCAAGCCUGAUGCAGCCAUGCCGCGUGUAUGAAGAAGGCCUUCGGGUUGUAAAGUACUUUCAGCGGGGAGGAAGGGAGUAAAGUUAAUACCUUUGCUCAUUGACGUUACCCGCAGAAGAAGCACCGGCUAACUCCGUGCCAGCAGCCGCGGUAAUACGGAGGGUGCAAGCGUUAAUCGGAAUUACUGGGCGUAAAGCGCACGCAGGCGGUUUGUUAAGUCAGAUGUGAAAUCCCCGGGCUCAACCUGGGAACUGCAUCUGAUACUGGCAAGCUUGAGUCUCGUAGAGGGGGGUAGAAUUCCAGGUGUAGCGGUGAAAUGCGUAGAGAUCUGGAGGAAUACCGGUGGCGAAGGCGGCCCCCUGGACGAAGACUGACGCUCAGGUGCGAAAGCGUGGGGAGCAAACAGGAUUAGAUACCCUGGUAGUCCACGCCGUAAACGAUGUCGACUUGGAGGUUGUGCCCUUGAGGCGUGGCUUCCGGAGCUAACGCGUUAAGUCGACCGCCUGGGGAGUACGGCCGCAAGGUUAAAACUCAAAUGAAUUGACGGGGGCCCGCACAAGCGGUGGAGCAUGUGGUUUAAUUCGAUGCAACGCGAAGAACCUUACCUGGUCUUGACAUCCACGGAAGUUUUCAGAGAUGAGAAUGUGCCUUCGGGAACCGUGAGACAGGUGCUGCAUGGCUGUCGUCAGCUCGUGUUGUGAAAUGUUGGGUUAAGUCCCGCAACGAGCGCAACCCUUAUCCUUUGUUGCCAGCGGUCCGGCCGGGAACUCAAAGGAGACUGCCAGUGAUAAACUGGAGGAAGGUGGGGAUGACGUCAAGUCAUCAUGGCCCUUACGACCAGGGCUACACACGUGCUACAAUGGCGCAUACAAAGAGAAGCGACCUCGCGAGAGCAAGCGGACCUCAUAAAGUGCGUCGUAGUCCGGAUUGGAGUCUGCAACUCGACUCCAUGAAGUCGGAAUCGCUAGUAAUCGUGGAUCAGAAUGCCACGGUGAAUACGUUCCCGGGCCUUGUACACACCGCCCGUCACACCAUGGGAGUGGGUUGCAAAAGAAGUAGGUAGCUUAACCUUCGGGAGGGCGCUUACCACUUUGUGAUUCAUGACUGGGGUGGAGUCGUAACAAGGUAACCGUAGGGGAACCUGCGGUUG
rnacentral:rRNA from 1 species